UCUAGGUGAUAUUAAAGGCUAGGCUCAGUAAUAUUAAAUUAGUUAGGCUACUUCCAUGAUUUCGCUAUUGUGCAUCAUGCUACCAUGAACAUGGGUAUACAAAUAUUGUACUUAAUCGCUUUAAUUAACACUGAAUGUACAGGUCCAGUAUGGCUCAACUAUGAAGUAAAAGGGUCAUCAGUGAAUGAUGUGCAAUAAAACCCUAGCCACACCUGGGUGGUGAGCCUAGCUUUUUUGUAUUUUUUCAUUUUAUAAAUUUUCUAGAAUGUACAUUUAUCUAGUUCUCAAAAUAUAAGUGGUGUGCCAUCUAACAGCAUUACCAAUUGAGAAAAAGUGAGUCCCUUUGCCCCAUUAAACCAUUGUACAUGGAGUUGUUGCUGUCAGUGUUGAAGUAAGGUGCUCCUAGAUGAUGCAGAAGUUUCAAAACUUGAAGUUCAAGAAUCAAAAAAGUAGGUCACCUGGUUGGUUGCUGAUAACCCCCGACAGUGAAGUUCUAGGAUAAACAAUUACUUCACUGUUUUUACUACCUAUGAAACUUGAGUUGAAGGAGCAACACAUCCCGCCACCACCAGCCUCAUGAAAGUCUUCUUGAAACGUAUCUCUUUCCCUCACUGCUUACAUUUAUUGAGCAGAAAAAACUGCAGGUGUAAACCCCACACAGUAACUUGAGGUCAGAGAGAUGGAGACACCCCCAUGGCCUGUCCCUGUCCCCACUGGCCCCCAGGUGGAGAUUGCACUGGGACAGGUAAGGGGCCAGAAGACAGCAAACAGACAGUUUUGUCUAGACACAUACUUAAUAAUUCUUGAAUAAAGGAACCUCUCAGCACCACAUCUAGCAACUUUGAAUGUAACUGGCUGCUGGCUGCAGUCCCGCUUGCUAAGCUGCCUGCAGAGAUGGGAUGGUGACUCAUGAUGUCUCCUGCCUCUUUCCUGAAAUGUUGCAGCCAUCGCUUAUUUAUUCUCCGUCUAUACCCACUGGGUCCUAUUACGUGCAUGUCCCUAAUGGCUGGUGGGGAUAAAAAGUGAAUGAAAUGGGGUUUGUGCCCUCCUGGAGCUCUCCACUCUGAGCCCUAACGCUGUGGUCUGUCUCUAUUGCAGGAGCAAGGAGAGGGAAGACUGGAAUGGGAAUGGCAGACAAGGCUUCCCAGAGGAGGAGGGAAACAGGAGGAGAUAUCUCCAACGGGAGGAGAAGGAGGUGCUGGCCUCGCUUCCCCGAGGAUGCCAGAGCACAAAAGUGGGAGGAGGCGUCUUGCCUCCCCACCGCCGUCUCUCUCCCUCUGCCCAGGUCCAGUUAGACGGGUUCUGUCGGGAAGACGGCACUAAAAACUUGGCAAGGGGCAGGUUCUUACCAGCCUGCCCAGCCUCCCUCCGGGUGAGAAGGCCGGAUCAGAGUCAGGAACUGUUGUAGCCCAUGUCAGACACAUACAUGACCGUGGGGACAACUCUGUGAGAAAACGCUUCUUAGAAUCCUCUCUAGUUUGAAAACGUACGAUGUCACAGCUUUUUAGGACCCGAUGCAGAUGAAGGUGGGUGAUGGGCACGGGGGGGGGGCUUCCUACCAGCGACCGACUCCCGGAAGGGCGACCGACACCCAGCAGGCGAGCCCUCCAGGCCAGGCCAAGAGAGUCAAGCACAAUCCCAGAAACAUGCAAGGCUGACAGGACCCCUGUGACCUAAUGGCACCACUGGGACACAAGCUGGAGCCGCUGGGCUAAUGGCCGACCUCUGGGCAGGCGCUUCACCCUCUGCAUACAGUUGUCGAAGAAUUCUGAUGAAACAAUUAGAAAUGUUCUUGUUUUAACUGGCAGACUAGCAGACUCUUUCUUAAUUUGCUGUUGCUAUUACAGAAAGAUCGUGACAAAAAUAGCUGUUACUAAGGUAGCAGCACUACACCAUGGCUCCUUCACUCCUGCGGACCCCUGAGGCCGUGACAAGGGGGACGCAGGCGGGGUUAGGGCCAGGCCUAGUGGGCGGCACCUGACGAGGUGGUGUCCUCAGACCAGCGUGUUACAGGUGGGGGUCCUCUCCCACUCGCCCACAGAGUGUUCUGACGUGGUGCUAGGUGAGGGACGGACCCUCGUGGGGAGGAGGGGGAAGUGAGGGGCAGGGGUGGAGUCCCUCAGAGCAGACGAGAAAGGCCAAGGAAUGCAGAACGGUACAACCAGCUGUGGAAGAUGGUGUGCCUGUUUCUAAAGAAGCGAAACAUUCUCGCCACACAAUCCAGCAAACACACUCUUUGGUUUUAUCUAAAUAACUGAAAACUUGUUUCCACACAAAAUCCUGCGCAAGGAUAUGUAUAGCAGCUUCAUUCUGAACUGCCAAAACUUGGAAGCAACCAUGAUGUCCUGCAGAGGGGGAUGGAUUAAUAAACUGUGGUUCAUGUAGACAAUAUUGUUCAGCACUGAAAGGAAACACAGUAGCAAGCCGUGAACAGACGCGGAUGAGCCUUGAGUGCACAUCGCUAAGUGGAAGAAGCCAGUCUGGAUGAUUCCGGCCAUCGGACACUCUGGAAAAGGCAGAACCGUGGAGAUAGGAGACGACGACCAGGGGCUGAGCAGCUGGGGGAGGGAGGGACGAACAGGCAGAGCACAGGGUUCCAGGGCAGCAAGACUCCUCUGGCUGCUGUAGGAUUACGUUAGAUACGUGACAUUGUGCGUUUGGGAAACCCCACAGAACAGCACUGAGAGCAAACCCUACUGGAAAUUAGGGGCUUUGGUUAAAGAUGGUAUCAGCUCAUCAACCCUAACACAUGCACCACAUUAAUACGAGAUGUUCUGGUAGGAAAAACAGUGUGUGGGGUGGGGGUAUAUGGGAAUUUGCUGUAUUUUCUGCUCAAUUUUUCUGUGAACCUAAAACUGCUCUGAAAAAAUGAAGUCUAUCAAUUUUUAAAACAUCUGAAAACAUAACAGGCUAAAAAUCAUUCUAGGUCUCAGACGCAAAGCAAACCAUUCCCUUGGUGUAACCAACCAUUUUCUUUAAAGUAAACUACGCAUUAAUAAUUAAAUGCUGCAGACCAGCUACAGGAAGUGCCUGGAAGUCUCUACAAGGUGUGGGUGUCACUCUCGCAGCCCCUAGACAGUUACCCUGGCCAGCUGGGCUGGUGGGCACCCCAACACAAGAGCCGGGAAGCAGCAGGGCUGUGUCGGGGCUCUCAGCCUUGGGCAUCCGUCAGGAGACCCUGGUUUGCUCUGGAGCCAGGGGGUGGUCACUCCCGCACUAGCACCUGCCCGCUCUGUGCCCACAGCCUCUGUCUGCCUCACAGAGCCCACAGCCUGCAUCGAGGCCAGAGAAGCCAGCAGUCGGCAGCAACUGUCAAUCAAUGUACGACCAGGGGUGGGAAAGGGUCCGGACUUGCCACUCACCAGGAGCGGCCCUGGUGUGACGAGGGAGCGUCCACAGCCGACGCAGCACUGAGAAACCAAAAACACUUCUUCUGUAAACUGGGGCAAAGUUUAAGACCUGUCUUCCUGUUUUAAAAAAUGUUCGUUUGUUUAUUUUGAGAGAGAGAAUGAGAGCGAGCGAGUGGGGAAGGGGCAGAGAGAGGGAGAGAGGAUCCCAAGCAGGCUCUGCAGUCGGCAGAGAGCCUCAUGCGGGGCUCAAACUCAUGAACCAUGAGAUCAUGGCUUGAGACGAGAUCGAGAGUCGGGCGCUCAACCGAAUGGGUCACCCAGGCGCCCCUUCCUUCUAAAACAAGGCACAGCAGCCCUCCAGGAUACAGGAGGGGAGGGGACGGACAGAUCUAGAAGUCACCACAUGUUCUGCCUGUCUCCUGUCCUGCAACGGAAACACUUUCGGAGCUGGCUCCCCUUUUAGAGCCAGUCUGGGCCCCCAGAGGCCACCAGGGCCCCAUGUCCCUACAGCCCCAAGGAGCACGGAUGCCUGCCACCCGUGCGUCUCACCUGGAUGAGGAGCCAAAGGGACAAAGCACAAGACGCAGCUUGUCGGCCUGAAAAAGAGGCAAGACCCUCUUCUCACCCCAUGCCUGUGGUUUCCCUGACCUGGGACGGACCUGGCUGGGACGUUCGCAAGCCGGCCAGCACUAGGCUCCCGGAGCCCAGACCCUCCCCCACGAAGGGGAGAAGCUGCAAACACAGUCUCUUCUGCGGGACCUCCGUCCCUGGUGCCCUGGAAAGUUCCCAGCCGCCCCCUGCCACUCCCUGGUUCCUGCUGCCCAGCACUUGGGACACACCGCAUGCGUCUUCUACCUGAUGGCCGGGGGGGGGGGGGGGUGACGCCCAAGGAAAGCGCCUCGCUCCCCUCACCCGUCACACUGAGCAGCUACCUUGGGGCCAAGGAAGGAGCUGCCUCGAGCCCCCCCACAUGGUGCAGCUGUCUGCCAGAGGCCCUCAGUAAAUGCUUCUGCAAGCACAGAACCUGUACACCCUUCCUCACCAGCAUCAGUCCUGAAGCACCUUUGGGCAUGCUUCAAUAUUUAUGGCAUGAUUUGCAAAGACAGGAGCUAACAGGAAAGUCAAAGCUUGACAUUUACAAAACAGAGUAACCGCUUAUUGAAUUAAUGUGAUCAAACGCAUGAGCUGGUAACUGUAAAAUAGUUGCCAUUGACUCCCGGCCACCCAUCUGUUCAGCUCACAGCUACUUUGGAGUCUGCAGGAGGCACACUGGCUAGGUGGCACCUGCUCUCAGGAGCUCACGGUCCCGCACGUAGUUCCCAGCCCAGUCAACUCCAGGACUAGAAGUGUCUACAGGGACAGACAGGCCACAGCAGCGGUGCGACGGGGGACAGCCCCUGGGGAAGCAGACCAGGAGGGCAGACCGGCCCAGGGGCCAGCCGGACAGCUUCCUAGCUUCAGCUUCCCCCCACUCGUUGGGACGUCAGGGCCUGUCUUGCCCACCAGCUCUGGGCGAUGGCAGAGCAGCGGCCACGGCUCCCGGGGCGUUCCUGCCUGGGAACACGCACACCCGUGGCACACGGUCUCCUGUCAGUCAUCAGGACGGGGCAGCGGGGAAGGGGGAAAGUGAAUGUUGUCAGUCUUGCUGCUUAUCUGGCAAAAAUAAAACAAAGCUCCACCCAACCAG